rnacentral:rRNA from 1 species
AUUGAACGCUGGCGGCAUGCCUUACACAUGCAAGUCGAACGGCAGCACGGGGGCAACCCUGGUGGCGAGUGGCGAACGGGUGAGUAACGCAUCGGAAUGUACCCAGUAGUGGGGGGAUAACUAGUCGAAAGACUAGCUAAUACCGCAUACGCACUGAGGUGGAAAGCGGGGGAUCGCAAGACCUCGCGCUAUUGGAGCAGCCGAUGUCCGCUUAGGUAGUUGGUGGGGUAAAGGCCUACCAAGCCUGCGAUCGGUAACUGGUCUGAGAGGACGACCAGUCACACUGGGACUGAGACACGGCCCAGACUCCUACGGGAGGCAGCAGUGGGGAAUUUUGGACAAUGGGCGCAAGCCUGAUCCAGCAAUGCCGCGUGUGUGAAG